UACGUAGGUGGCAAGCGUUGUCCGGAUUUAUUGGGUUUAAAGGGUGCGUAGGCGGCUUUGUAAGUCAGUGGUGAAAUAUGGCAGCUCAACUGUCAGGGUGCCAUUGAUACUGCGGAGCUUGAGUACAGAUGAGGUAGGCGGAAUUGACGGUGUAGCGGUGAAAUGCUUAGAUAUCGUCAAGAACACCGAUAGCGAAGGCAGCUUACUGGGCUGUAACUGACGCUGAGGCACGAAAGCAUGGGGAGCGAACAGG
rnacentral:rRNA from 1 species